AGAGUUUGAUCCUGGCUCAGAGUGAACGCUGGCGGCGUGCUUAACACAUGCAAGUCGAACGAGAACGGAUUAUAGCUUGCUAUAAUUGUCAGCUAAGUGGCGCACGGGUGAGUAAUGUAUAGGUAAUAUGCCUCUUACUAAGGGAUAACAAUUGGAAACGAUUGCUAAUACCUUAUACUCCUUAUUAACCUAAGUUAAUAAGGGAAAGAUUUAUUGGUAAGAGAUUAGCCUGUAUUGUAUCAGUUAGUUGGUGGGGUAAUGGCCUACCAAGACUAUGACACAUAACUGGUUUGAGAGGAUGAUCAGUCACACUGGAACUGAGACACGGUCCAGACUCCUACGGGAGGCAGCAGUGGGGAAUAUUGCACAAUGGACGAAAGUCUGAUGCAGCAACGCCGCGUGGAGGAUGACACAUUUCGGUGCGUAAACUCCUUUUAUAUGAGAAGAUAAUGACGGUAUUAUAUGAAUAAGCACCGGCUAACUCCGUGCCAGCAGCCGCGGUAAUACGGGGGGUGCAAGCGUUACUCGGAAUCACUGGGCGUAAAGAGCAUGUAGGCGGAUUGAUAAGUUUGAAGUGAAAUCCUAUAGCUUAACUAUAGAACUGCUUUGAAAACUGUUAAUCUAGAAUGUGGGAGAGGUAGAUGGAAUUUCUGGUGUAGGGGUAAAAUCCGUAGAGAUCAGAAGGAAUACCGAUUGCGAAGGCGAUCUACUGGAACAUUAUUGACGCUGAGAUGCGAAAGCGUGGGGAGCAAACAGGAUUAGAUACCCUGGUAGUCG
rnacentral:rRNA from 1 species